rnacentral:rRNA from 1 species
GGAUUAGGCAUGCAAGUCGAGCGAUCGUAGCAAUACGGGAGCGGCAAACGGGGUAGGAAUACAUCGGAACGUACCCUCUGGUCGAGGAUAGCGUCGGGAAACUGACGGUAAUACUCGAUAAAGUCGAGAGACCAAAGGUUUACUGCCGGAGGAGCGGCCGAUGCGAUAUUAGGUAGUUGGUGGGGUAACGGCCUACCAAGCCUGAGAUGUCUAGGGGGUGUGAGAGCAUGGCCCCCACCACUGGGACUGAGAGACUGCCCAGACACCUACGGGUGGCUGCAGUCGAGGAUCUUCGUCAAUGGGCGAAAGCCUGAACGAGCGACGCCGCGUGCGGGAUGAAGGCCCUUGGGUUGUAAACCGCUGUCAGGGGGGAUGAAACCGUAAGGUUGACAGAGCCCCAGAGGAAGCACGGGCUAAGUUCGUGCCAGCAGCCGCGGUAAUA